GCUCGCUCCUUGACGGCUGACCGACACUGGGUCUGAGGUGUAAGCGCUUUCCAGGCCCUUCCCUGGGGCUUGGAGGGGAAUGGCGCAAAGGACUUUUCUUACAAGCAGAGAGGUUGGACUCCUGAAAGCCUGGACAGUGUCAUCAUCUUCACCUGAAGAGUGGAAAAAUUCAAGCAAAGAGUUUCUCAGGAAAUGACCAAGUAAAACAUCUGGAGUAAGUCAGCAGGAUUCACAGUGACUCCCCCCAACCAGCUGGUGGUGUUUCUCUCUGAAAGCAGCGCUUGGUACCAGUGUGAACUCUCUUCCUUCAGAAGUCUCAUCAGGUGGACGUAAUACGAGGGUCUGGUCCCCCAUACCUUGAGGACUCCGCUGCCAUCUGACAAUUACAGACAAUCCAAUUGUCCUCAUCCUUGAGGACUCUGCUGCCAUCUGACAAUUAGAGACAGUCCAAAACAUGCCACACUUUGAUCCUAAACACAUUCCUGGCUUUGGUCACUUUUGAAAAGUUCCUGAGUUAUGAGAAAUCAAUAAUAAGAGUGUUCAAAACCUGAACACUCUUUUUAGAAAUACCUGCUGGAACUACAUAUAUGAUUUAUGGGGUACUGUCUUGUAGUAUCUGGGAAAGUAGACCCAUCUAACCUGGAAUGAUCAUAGGCAACAAUGACCAAAAAUGGGGAUCUUUUGAUAUACCUAAAGUAAUUUAUUUGUGCACACCAUUGGAAAGAGCUGGUUUUAGAACCAGACAUGUAAAUAAGAGACUGACUUCCACUGGCACCUAAAAACUUCUAAAAGAAAUCCUGAAAGAAAAAGUCACCUUCAUUCAAGAGACCAUUUGGGCCUUCAUGAGUAACCAGCUGAGAAGCUGAGAUCAGAUAGAAAUGAAAUUCAUAGAAUAGGACCCUGACAAGUACUCUUGAAUACAGGUUUCUGAUAACUUUGGAGAUCAUAUCAUUGGACUAAGUAACAACUUUCAGGAUAUAAUUGGAGACACUUGUUAUUUUACUAAGGAUUUGACUGGAAUGACAUAUUUUCAGAUAUGACCAGACUGCUUUGAAGAAUGGAGGUUGACUCUAUAGAGGCAAUUAGAAAGCCUCUUGGAAAGACUGGCCUGGUCCCUUGUCUACGUAGUUCCCUUUCAAGAUUUCUGUCCUGUGUUAAGUAAAGAAUGUCACUUUCUGACAGGCCUGGGAACCUCAAAAUAUUUCCGCUGUGUAUCUCUCAUUGUUUUAUUUCUUCUGAGAAAACUAAAUUCAUGGUACACUGAAGAGGUGAUUCCACAAGUGAUGGCAGCUAUAAAUCAAUGACUGGUAGGACUACCUGGGCAUGAGCCUUUCUGGCAAUGAGGGAUACCUUGACACUCAGAUUUUGAUCAUCAGUGCUUUCAAAAGGAAAGAUUUUUGAUCAAAAGGAAGAAAUGAGAAAAAGAACUUUUAUCUGAAGAAUGCAAGUCCUUUCCAAUUAUCAGAUCCAGAGAGGUAUUAAAAUGAGACGGCAAUCCUGUCCUACACACACCCCCUUUUGAGGCAUGUACUCAUCUUUUUAUACUGCUUACUAUUGCCACAAGUAGCUGAAAAUUAGCCUACUGGUGCUGCACCAGACAUUAUAACCCAUAUCCUAUAGCUUAAUAAUGGAUAGCCAAUCAACAGCUUAUGUUAUGUUAAUGUAAAUUAUUGGUAAAUAACUCAGGAACUGCCUCUUCUUUCCUUUUAAAAACCCACUUGUGGGCCGGGCGUGGUGGCUCACGCCUGUAAUCCCAGCAUUUUGGGAGGCCAAGGUGGGCGGAUCACAAGGUGAGGAGAUCAAGACCAUCCUGGAUAACACAGUGAAACCCUGUCUCUACUAAAAAUACAAAAAAUUAGCCGGGCGUGGUGGCGGGCACCUGUAGUCCCAGCUACUCGGGAGGCUGAGGCAGGAGAAAGGCGUGAACCCAGGAAGCAGAGCUUGCAGUGAGCUGACAUGGCACCACUGCACUCCAGCCCGGGCAACAGUGCGAGGCCCUGUCUCAAAAAAAAAAAAAAAAAAAAAAUCCACUUGUGGCUGAGUGUGGUGGUUCACACCUGUAAUCCCAGCACUUUGGGAGGCUGAGGUGGGUGGAUCACCUGAUGUCAGGAGUUCGAGACCAGCUUAACCAAUGUGGCGAAACCCUGUCUCUACUAAAAAUACAACAAUUAGCCAGCUGUGAUGGUGGGUGCCUGUAAUCCCAGCUACUUGGGAGUCUGAGGCAGACUCAAGACUUCAAGAAUGUCUUGAACCCAGGAGGCGGAGGUUGCAGUGAGCCA
rnacentral:lncRNA from 1 species